rnacentral:rRNA from 1 species
CGGCCGCGUCGACGCAACCCUGACCGAGCAACGCCGCGUGAGUGAAGGAGGUUUUCGGAUCGUAAAGCUCUGUUGUAAGUCAAGAACGAGUGUGAGAGUGGAAAGUUCACACUGUGACGGUAGCUUACCAGAAAGGGACGGCUAACUACGUGCCAGCAGCCGCGGUAAUACGUAGGUCCCGAGCGUUGUCCGGAUUUAUUGGGCGUAAAGCGAGCGCAGGCGGUUUGAUAAGUCUGAAGUUAAAGGCUGUGGCUCAACCAUAGCUCGCUUUGGAAACUGUCAAACUUGAGUGCAGAAGGGGAGAGUGGAAUUCCAUGUGUAGCGGUGAAAUGCGUAGAUAUAUGGAGGAACACCGGUGGCGAAAGCGGCUCUCUGGUCUGUAACUGACGCUGAGGCUCGAAAGCGUGGGUCGACGCGGCCG